UACGAAGGGGCUAGCGUUGCUCGGAAUCACUGGGCGUAAGGGUGCGUAGGCGGGUUUUAAGUCAGGGUGAAUCCUGGAGCUCAACUCCAGAACUGCCUUUGAUACUGAAGAUCUUGAGUCCGGGAGAGGUGAGUGGAACUGCGAGUGUAGAGGUGAAAUUCGUAGAUAUUCGCAAGAACACCAGUGGCGAAGGCGGCUCACUGGCCCGGUACUGACGCUGAGGCACGAAAGCGUGGGAGC
rnacentral:rRNA from 1 species